rnacentral:rRNA from 1 species
CGGACGGGUGAGUAACACGUGGAUAACCUACCUAUAAGACUGGGAUAACUUCGUGAAACCGGAGCUAAUACCGGAUAAUAUAUUGAACCGCAUGGUUCAAUAGUGAAAGACGGUUUUGCUGUCACUUAUAGAUGGAUCCGCGCCGCAUUAGCUAGUUGGUAAGGUAACGGCUUACCAAGGCAACGAUGCGUAGCCGACCUGAGAGGGUGAUCGGCCACACUGGAACUGAGACACGGUCCAG